rnacentral:sRNA from 1 species
UCUUAAAAACCUAAGUAUUGAAUCUUUGUUAGAAGAUACAAAGACAAAGACUCAUACGGACUUCGACUACACUAUCAAAGCUCUGAGAAGCAAGAAGAAGCUUGGUUAUUGUUUUGGAUUCGAAUAUGACUUGAUGUCAUGUGUAUGACUCAGUAUAAACACUAGAACCGCAACAGGUCUUAAAAGCAUAAAU